rnacentral:sRNA from 1 species
UCAGAUAAAUUAUUGGCUCUUGCUGCUCAGGUUGCUAGUGGCCUAGAUCACCUUGAAAAAUUUAAGUUAAUUUACUAUAGGCUCAGGUCCUGCAAAAUAUUGGUAGCUAAAGGUGGACUCUGUAAACUAUCAGGAUUUGGUUUUCCUAAUGAGGUGACAGAAAGAAACUUGUAUGAAUCAAACUCAGUACCAGUUCGUUGGACUGCUCCAGAAAGUCUACAGAGUCAUGUUUACAAUGUGAAGACUGACACUUGGUCCUAUGGCAUUGUGCUCUGGGAAAUAUUACAUUUUGGUAAGUCUGUCUGCUAUGUGAACUAACGAUGUAAAUGUUUCUUUCAGAGCUGAAGAUAAUCUACUUCCUAGCCCAAACCUCCUACAGGACAGGUAUGGCACCAAGCAGGGUAUGAGCCCAAGACCGUCGAGACAACCGAAGAACAGUGCAGUGCACAUAUCACAUGACCAGGCAGCCAGCCUGAAUAAUGAGUUUGGUAGAUUUUUGGUCUGUUAACUACUUGAGAGUCAUUAUAAAUUUGUCAGUCAGCUAAAUACAAGUAAAAGU